GACGAACGCUGGCGGCGUGCUUAACACAUGCAAGUCGAACGGAAAGGCCCUGCUUUUGUGGGGUGCUCGAGUGGCGAACGGGUGAGUAACACGUGAGUAACCUGCCCUUGACUUUGGGAUAACUUCAGGAAACUGGGGCUAAUACCGGAUAGGAGCUCCUGCUGCAUGGUGGGGGGUGGAAAGUUUCGGCGGUUGGGGAUGGACUCGCGGCUUAUCAGCUUGUUGGUGGGGUAGGGGCUUACCCAGGCUUUGACGGGUAGCCGGCCUGGGAGGGUGACCGGCCACAUUGGGCCUGAGAUACGGCCCAGGCUCCUACGGGAGGCAGCAGUGGGGAAUAUUGCACAAUGGGCGGAAGCCUGAUGCAGCAACGCCGCGUGCGGGAUGACGGCCUUCGGGUUGUAAACCGCUUUCGCCUGUGACGAAGCGUGAGUGACGGUAAUGGGUAAAGAAGCACCGGCUAACUACGUG
rnacentral:rRNA from 1 species